rnacentral:lncRNA from 1 species
AAAAUUAAAUCCGAAUUAAAUCAACAAUAAUAACAACAAAAACAAAUUAAGUUAACAGUAAUCCAUUAAUUUAUAACAAAAAAAUUACCUUUUCUUAAACACCUAAUCUUCCUUAAACAACAAACUCUCAUUCCCUUUUCUAUUUAUUUUUUUUACCUUCUUUUUCUCCUUCUCUUUUUUUUUUUCUUUCUUUUUCCCUUCCCUUCCUUUCCCGCCCUCUCAAUCUCCUUCUCCUUCUCUUCUUUUCUUUCUUCAAAAAUUCUCUCUUUUGGCCAAAAAUGAGCAUUGGGGAAAGGUCCCCAAACACACAUAUCAAACACACCGCCUGCAUGACCCGUCCCAUCCCACCCACCGCCUGACACCGGUGAUGCUACCUCUGCCAAAGGCGUGACCAAGGUGCCGCCUCUUCCCUAGGC